GACGAACGCUGGCGGCGUGCUUAACACAUGCAAGUCGAACGGAAAGGCCCUGCUUUUGUGGGGUGCUCUAGUGGCGAACGGGUGAGUAACACGUGAGUAACCUGCCCUUGACUUUGGGAUAACUUCAGGAAACUGGGGCUAAUACCGGAUAGGAGCUCCUGCUGCAUGGUGGGAGUUGGAAAGUUUCGGCGGUUGGGGAUGGACUCGCGGCUUAUCAGCUUGUUGGUGGGGUAGUGGCUUACCAAGGCUUUGACGGGUAGCCGGCCUGAGAGGGUGACCGGCCACAUUGGGACUGAGAUACGGCCCAGACUCCUACGGGAGGCAGCAGUGGGGAAUAUUGCACAAUGGGCGGAAGCCUGAUGCAGCAACGCCGCGUGCGGGAUGACGGCCUUCGGGUUGUAAACCGCUUUCGCCUGUGACGAAGCGUGAGUGACGGUAAUGGGUAAAGAAGCACCGGCUAACUACGUG
rnacentral:rRNA from 1 species